UGUGAGCCUGUGGAUUUAGUUUCUACAGAGCUCAGCCACCUGCACCAGUCAGUGAUGGGAACUUCUCAAAGAAAUGGUUCUAAAUUCUCCCAGUGUUGAGUUAGCAUACUCCAAGAGGAACCCACCAGUUACAGAGGGCUUCAUAUUACUGGUCCAGAAGCAAUUUCAGUGUCAAAACUGCUCCAGGAACAAGGUACACCUGGGAAUGGUUGAGCAAAAUGAUAGUCACAACUGCCACCUCUCAUGAUGUUCCACUUGUUUACUUGUUGUUAGUGAGUAGCACAUGGCCUGCAGGAGGCCACAGGCAGCCACUUCCAAAUCCCUAGACAUGCUGCAUUGCACAGCUCUUGCUCUUCUUUUAUUUUUUUCUUUCCAAACAAGGUUUUUUUAGCUUUUGACAUUUUAGGAGAAAUUUAGAAAAGAAAAAAUGGACAGAGAUCUAUUCUGAUUUAUGACAAAAUAAACUUCUGCAAGAAGUAAGCAAUCAAAAACUAGCUAUAGUUGUAAUAACCAGAACUUUAUGUAUUUGUGCCCAUCAAAGAGACAACAGAGUGCUGAGCAGAAAACAGUGGUUUUCUAAGCUUAAUCUCAUGAUUAUGCACUUUCCAUGUGAGUUAAUAAUUGUAUCUCAUUUCCACCCUAAAGACGAUGGUCUUGGUGGAUAGUGCUGCUCAUUAUGUUCAUUUGCUGAGUGUUGGUUAGUUAUUACUCAUGAGGAUGUUGUUCCAAAGGAACUAAGGUGUGGCUGUGGCUAAAGGAGAUGUACUCGAAGUGGUAAUCAACCUUUUAAUGCCAGUGGUAAAAAUGCCACGUGAAGGCAUGCCACUCCUUGAGGACUACAUGACUCUCCAUACUGCCUUGGCGCUACGUGGACACAAUUGGUACUCACGGUGCACCCCAGAUCUUACCUACAUUCUGCUCUGUAUCAGGACUCAUUUUGAUCUCAUUUCAGAGGUGACUAUAAUGUGGGACUGUACAGAGCUGUGCUGGAUCAGAAAUGGUAAACAUAACCAUAGCCAGCAGCAGCUGGAUAGAAGAAUUUCAGCUGGAUGUUGCACAAAGAGUUGUACUCUUAGGUUUGUGGUAGAAGAGUUCUCCAAGGUGUAGGAUGACCUCAGAAAUGUUCUUAUUCUUGCGCAGCUUUUGUUUGCUUGUUAUCUCUGAAAAGAGGGAAAUAAGAAUUUCCAGAUUUGGUUUUUUUUUUUCUGCAAAAACAAAAUGUCACAGUGCCCUUUUUAGAAGAUACAUUCCUGACUUCCUUGUUACUCAAAACGAGAUCAACCUGUGUGGCCUUGAGUGGACUAGGAGACGGGCAUAUUUUUUAUUGCCGAUUCCAACUCAUAAAUUCUUAACUUGCUUAGAAUUUGCCAGAUUAAAUGAAAAGAUACUGUAAUUAGGGAUUUAUUAAAACAUGGAUCCUUGACCUGAUAGAAUAUAAUAACUCAUUUGUUUCAAAUAAGACCUAUUUAAUUGUUCCAUCGCUGGCCUGAACAUUUCGUGCUGAGGCUUUGAACCCUCUCCAUUCUGCGCAGUCCCGCAUGUUGUCCAAAUCCACUUGCAAAAAGCAAAAUGCUCUGUGAAAUUCUUGAUCCCCCAGCUGCUAUGCAGGCAGAAGCCCCUAAAACAAAAAUGUGUCAUUGUAAUUAAAAAUUAAAGUCCUGAAAGCCCUUAUUAUUCAACGCUACAAAGCAAAGACUAUGAAAAUACUAUUUUUAUACACGCGGCUCUGUUUUAAUUUUUUUUUUUUUUUUGUGAGCAACCCUCCUUCUCCGUAUCUUUAAAAACAAUAGUUAUUGAUUUACAAUCUUAUAAAUAAGGCUGUAAAAUCUUGUAACACAGAGCUAUAAAUAGAUAUUUGAAAAAAAUAUGAAAAUUGCUCCCAAGUCAAGUCCAUAUAUGGCACUAGUCAGCAGAGAGCCAUUUUACGGAGACAUAUAAACUGCAGAAAAUAAUUUCUAUUGAAAAUGCAAAGAAAUCUGAAACUAAGCACUGCCACAAACAAUGCAGCCAUAAUUAAGGAAUUACCCACUCCUUCUCCUCAUCUUUGAAAUAAGCCUUCUCCUUUAUUUAAUUGGUUAGAUACAGAAAGCGUAUUACUAUAUUUGGGUCCUGUUUCCCUAGUAUAAGAAUAGUCCUAGAAGGAAUUCCCAGUUAAAGAGUGAGGCAGUUCUACAACAUAUUAAAAAAAAAAAUACCACAGGAAAGUGUUAUCCAAUGGGCAGAUGUUAACUUAAAGUGCACAUUGUUUGGAAAAGGAGUUAAUUAACAACUUAUUAAUUGGAUAGAAAGUCUGAAACUGUUGUACUUCUAGCAAAUACAUAAUUUUCUUCAAGUAUUAUUAAAGCGUUUUUGUUGUACCUAUUAAAGAUUCUUGUCUCUAAGUUAAUUUCAUUAUGCUAAUAAGCUAUCAUCGUUACAGAACCUAAGCUUUGAUCCAUGUUAAUUGUCGUGAUCUUCAAAGACAAAGUCACCACUUACUUUAAAUGAAUUUUACAUCUUUUUAAAGAAUCACACGGAAAUUAGGGGAAGUAAUUAAUUUUUUAUUAUGUGUCUCAAUAUUUUUAAGGGAGGAAGUCAAUGGUAUUGGCUAGAAUUCAUUUUAACAUUUAACUAGGGAAAACAGCAUGAGGCAAAAAAACGUUCAGAUGCAAAAGAUUAAAGAAAAUUUGAAACUGGGACCUAAUUUGUCUUGAUAAACUUUGGUGUUUAAUAUGCUUCUUUUGUUCUCUGUGUGAAACUGCAGGGUUUUGAUUUGUAAAAACUUUUUGAAGAAUUAAUUCUGUCUAAUUUUUAUUCCUUUCUUUGCUUUCCUUUCACUGUAAGACAGAGGAGAUGACCUUCAAACCAUAACACUUUAAAUAUCUAUGAAUAUACAAGGUUAAAUCUAUUAGAGGUCUGAGAUUAGCUGCUAUAUACUUGCAAAAUAUGUACCUUUUGCAGCAAUUUUUAUCUUUUAAUGAAUGAUAACAAGCUCACAUCAACCCUACAAGUUUUUAAAAUAUAAUGGAAUAUGUGUAGCAAGUGAUCUAUUCCUCUUUCCUAUAAGUGUUGGUUACUUUAACCCUCUGAUGCUUUUCAAGGCUCAGUUCUGUAUCAACAGGGUAUUUUUUGGAUUUGGGAUCAGGACCUAAUGUCAGUAUUAUCAGCCUACCUAUGGCUGCCAAUUUAUAGUUUACCCAAAUUCUCCCUUAUCUUUUCCAGAUUUCUCUUGUUUCGAUUCAAGAUGAACAUCUUCUAAAUAAGAUUUUUCUUUUAAAGGAAGUUUCCUGUCUGUUUUCCAACAUUUAAAAUCUCACUGAAAUGGAAGUCCUGGAGUACGAGCAUCCUGUCGUAUUUGCAGUGAAAAACAGAGCCUUUUUAUAUGGCAGUAGACAAAAGUAUAUUAAGGAUAGACGAAGUGAUUGAAAUCAAAAGCCAGAUUACUAACUUCAUUCUCUCUAGUUAGCAGCACGCAAGUACUGUAAAUGCAAGUAAACAUCAAGUUUCAACUGAGCCUGGAUGGUUGGAUUUCUGCAGCAGACAGGUGGUGAGCUCAUCGCGAGGAUUUUUCGGCAUUAAUGUUGUACUCAUUUAGACUAACACCAGGCUUGAGUGACCCUCAUCUGGAUUUAACCUAUGACCUGUCAAUCCAGAGACAUGCUCUCAGACCUCAACAGUUUUGCUUUUCCGUGUUUUUUACUUCUUUUUUUAAGCAUAGAUGACUUUAAUCAUUAAGCAGCUUUCAUAAGCAGAACAUAUACAAGCGCUAUUCGGUGCUCUUUGAUUUGUAAUCUAGGUUUUUGCCCAUUUAAUCCCCAGUGUCUAAGUGAAUUCCGCUGAAGUUCAGAAUUCUUUGAUUGAGCACGUAGUGAUUGGGUAAAGGAUUGCAUUGCUUCUCUGUCUGCUUUUACACUUUCUGUGACAGAGCUUUUUUGUGCAAAAACGUCCACUGCGUGGUAUCGUUUAUUUUUUCCCUUUUGUCUGCUUGUCUAUUAUCUGGUUGUUCCUUUUUCUCCUUUUUAUUAUAGUAUUUGGCUACUGGUUUCAUGCCCAAAGGAGAAAUUUCCGAUGAAGCAAGAUUUGAUUUGGUUUUGAUUUUUUUUUUCUGAUGCUAAUUUUAGAUAUGUUUUGAUGUAGAACAUUUGUUCUUUAAUAUUGAUGACCUUUUUCAAAAGCACGGGUUAUUCCAGACCCUGGGUAUGACAUAAAGGGUUAAGCUGUCCUGUUGUACAGAGAAGCCAGAGCCACCUCAACACUUUGUGAAAUCCAAGGAAAGCAGUGGCUCCCAAAGUGCCCUCCCUUGCCUGAACAAUUUGAAGACUGGUUUCUGUCCUAACUUGGUCUGAAUCUGCCUUUGGUGCUGUUGUGGAAGUAGGAGGCCAUGGUUUAUUUGCUCUGCUCUUUUGAGGGUUGCUCAGGGCAAUGCAAUCCAAAAGAUGCUGUGGCACCAAGGCACAUGUUCCCAGCCCAGUCAUAGCACUUAUCUCUAUAAUGGAGUGGUAAAGCCUUCUAACAUGCAGUUCACAGAAAUGGAUUGUACCAAGAGCAUCUAUAAAAGCCACAGCAUCCAUUUGAAAAGAGCAUAAUGUCACCAUUUUUCAGGAGAAGACAUUUCAAAUCAACUAUGACUUUUCCAACAGCCUUUUCCUGGAAAGGAGAUUUUCUUCUACAAAAGAAAUUUUUACAGAAAGAUUCUGAUACGGUCAACUAACUAGAGCAUCUGGUGUAUGCAGCUGGUCUAAGGUGGUUUUGCUGGUUGAGGAUUUGUGUCGGAAUGACCUGCAGAACUGAGUCCUUAGUUUGCAAACAUAAGUGAUGACUUUCGGUCAGCAAUGACUGAGGAUUUCACCUGGCGGGCAGAAAACUUCAGUUCAUAAGAAGAAAUUUCAAAGGUGAGCUUCAUGACGCUUUGAACAAGAAGGAAAACACUGGAGCUUUCCAUCAAAGCUGUGAGCCAAGCCAGGUUCCCAUCUGUGUGCUCUGCUCUACUUGAGAGGUCACGUCCAUGUGCCAUUACUAAGGAUGGAUGAUGGAGUAAUGCCAAGGUACCUCUGAGAGACGAAGGUCAAGAAAUGGGCUCCUCGCCAGGCCACGGCCAUGAUCCAGGUUUUCUGAGACUGAGUACAUUCAUCUGAGCUGUUAGCUGCUACGCUCCACCGCAUCCCUGUAUGAUCUGCCUAGGCUUGGUCCCCCAGAGGAAAUUUCUGCAUGCAUACUGUAUAUGAACUUUAGAUAAAUAAAUAAACACGAGAAACAGCUUCCAGAUAAUUGAAAGCGAGUGAAGGAGGGAGCAAAAAGAAAACAAUUUCUCAGGGGAGAAGCAAGCUGAGGUGGCAGGUACAGCCUAAAUUCAGCCAAAGUAUUUUGGUUCUUCUGUACCUUCAUAUGAUUAUUGAAGCACACUGAGCUGUGGUAUCAACAUCUGUAUGGUACAAAUACUUUUUCAGUCCAGCUGGACUCAGCUGCAUGAUCUGUGACCUGAAAAGCACACGCUCACCUUGGUUAAAUGGGGCUCAGCUCAGCAAUAUUCAGCAGAGCUGCGGCGGUUCCUGGCUCCGGCCACCAAAGCUCCACAGGAUUUUCACUGCUCAGGUGUUGCAAAGCCUAAUCCUUAUUCAGGAACCAAAACGCUCCCCUCUCCUUGCCUGCGGUGCUUGGAUGCCUGCCUUUGGCAGUAGCCCCAGACUCCUGCAGAAGAUGAAGACAUCCCUCCAUGCCUAUAGAUGGAAAAGCGCCAACAUGGAUGCCAUCAGAAGGACGCAGCUGAGCAUAUGCUGAGAAAAUUGUGGCAUCCAUACUGUACAUGGGGAAGGGCUGACUGAACACACCAGUUUGUUGAAGCUUAUGGCCCUGAAAAGGAAACAUAGGUUUCCUGUAAAUGUCAUUCAGGGAUAUGCUAACUGUUAUUUCCUGGCACUGGAUCAUGAUGCUUUCAACACAUUCUGUUCCUCUACCUCUGCUGCUACCUCUGCUGCCUGCCUGCCUGGCUGUGCACAGUGAUAGCUCUCCUGUCUUCUCACCUUUCCUCCUCCCCGCACCAGGCAAAGGUAUUCUGGUUGGGAGGGCCAGUGUCAGCACGCGAGAUGACGGACAGAGAGAUGAAGUCUCAACCCUAUACUCAGCCUGGCUGCUGCCUGUACCUGGGCCUUGCUGCACCAUUCCUUGAAUGCAAAGCAAUUCAAGGAAAAGAGUAACCUCUGUUACAUUAGAAAUCACACGUUUCUGACCCAGAAAGAGAGGAAUUUCACAGCCUCCCAGGACACGUGCUGGAGGGAGGAUUUCUGGAGCCUAAACCAGAGAAGCCCAGGAGAUGCUGGUGCGAAGGCUCACUGCAAGCAUCUGCUGCUUCUGGAGGAGGUCCUGUGGCAAUGCAUGUGCUCAGGAUAAAUAGAUUUCCUUCAGGAAACAUACUCUGGCCCCUGUCUGCUGUCAGAUAGUUGGGAGUGAGGUGGUCUUCGCAGUGAUUAAGCACAGAUUUUGCAGAGAAGGGAUAAAACGUCGUGGGCAAGGUCCUGUGGACUGAAAGUCAGAGUAACUGUAAUGCAAUGCCAUUACCCCACCUCACAGCUCAGAGCCUUUGCACAUCUCAUGGGCUGCCUGGAGCCUACACAGUUCACAGAGUGGAAAAAGGAAUUGAAGAAGCAAAAAUAAAUAUUGAAUCACGUAAGAAUUAAAUAUCACCUAUUUAAAUAGCAAUUACGCCGCUAAAAACAAGAUCACCACACCUGUACAAGAAAAGACAAGCAAGCCCAAAACAUCUGUUUGCAUCCACCUGCCAAGCACCUGUUCCGCUGUUUCAAUGCCAUUUGAUUGCUGGAGAUGUAGAGGCUCUUGUGAGGCCGGUCGUCUCACAGGGAACUGUAUGCAGAAUCCAUCAGCCCACGCUCCUCAUCACGAACUCAGUUGUUGAGACCAUCUCCCAGAGAUGAGGAAGAUGUGUUAAUCCAAAUGAAGAGACGCAGCCAAGCUUGGAGCAUCCUCUCUGCUGCUUCCCAAGUAUUUUCUCAGGUGUUAAACUAGCACUGGACUCAACUAAGAGGAGUGAUCAAACUAUCUGCUAAAGAACUCAAACAGGAGCCCCAGGAACUGGAAGCUGAACUUCAGAAUCACGAAGAGCACUGUUACAGCAUGAGAAAAAUCUGGAUGAAGACAUGAACUGGAGACAUGCCUACCACACUACAAGAAAUUGAAAGAAUACAAUCCCAUUUGACUCUAAAAAUCUUUCUAGGCUAAUUACCAGCUCACAAAGCAGAGAAAUUAAGGCAGAGAGGGCAUGUUCAUGAUGACAACCUUUACCCAUUAGCAAGCUUUGCGUUUUCCCAAGGCUGAAGACAGUUUAGCCCUGACAAAUCCAAUCAGUGAUAUGCAGGCGUAACCUCCAGAAAGAAGCUCACAUUUUUAGGAUCCACAGGGCAAAAGAUGGACUGCAGUAGGUCACUAUUAAAAUAUUUGAAAUACAGCUUGGCCAGUGCUGAAAUGGCACAGUUGGCCUGAAGUCGCUUCAAGGUCUCCUGGCAUCUGAGUGUUUCCCCAGUGGCUUUGUGCAGUAAAGUGUUAACUUCUCCUGAGUGGUUAUGUAUUUAAGGCAGUAACUUUAAAAUAAGGAAUUGCAACCUUAGAGCAAAGCUGCUAUUUUGAGAAUUUUAAACCAUUAUUGACUCCUGUCAGAUCAGUUUCUAGACUUAUUGACUCAAGAAGUAAAUAUAGACUGAGAGAAAGCGAGGUCAAGUCAAUAUUUAUCUUGCAGAUCAAUACAUUUUGAUACUAACCAAAAAUUAAGCUCAAUAAAUGCAUAUAUUAUAUACAGCAAGGUUAGGAGAGAUCCAUUCAGAAAAUUUGUCAAUUUGAAAUUUCCCAAUGGAAUCUAACCUUUUGGAUUCAAUUUCCAUUAGAAAUUCUGUCCCUUUAAGGUUCCGUAAGUGACUGAUGACGAGCCCCCAUCACCCAAUCAGAUUUCCAGAUGAUAGUUGAAUAGCAGUGAAAGGAAAAGGAAAGAAAGAUGAAGUGAGAAAAAGUUGGUCGCAGGAGCUCAAUCACGGCGUUAGGAGGAGGCAGACUCGGCAGUGAUUGAAAUACCUAAAAAGAAAAAAAGAAAACUGUUGGUUUCAUUGGAGCGAGUUUCGAGGUCUGUCUGUUUGCGCACAGUCCAAAUCUCAGACAGCUCAGCUCAGGGUUUGUACCAUCAGGAGAACGGAAGAGCUGGCAAGCUGAGACACUACCAGUACUUUGUGGAAACCGACAUAUGAAUUUGUUCUACAAAUGUGCCAGGGACACACUGAUCCAACAGUUAGAUCACUUCCAGAAGACACCGAGUUAGAUCUCCGAGUUCACUUCCAAUUGCUGACUACUACUAUCCAAUAAAAGAAAAUUUCUGCAUAAAGUAAACAAGUUGGAAACGUUCUGGGAUUUCAUCAACAACUUCCCAGCUUGACAACGAGACCCUCGUGACCCAGCAAUGAGUCCCAGUUCCCACCUGGGUGCCUCUGGAGAGUGACAAAUCUCUUGGAUGUGCUCUCACAUCCCAGAAGCACAGGCCAGGAACAUCUGUCUGUUCCUUCCUUUCCUUCAGACUGCCCUGAGGAGAAAGGGAGGCAGGCAAGUAAGGAUAUGAAAGGCAAACACUCAACUGGCCUUGUCACAUUAGCCAACUUAAAUAAUUCCUCUUGGCUGUGGAAACAGCCUUCCCAUCCAAAGCUGUCUUUUUUUUUUUUCUUUCUUUCUUUUCCCCCCUUUUUUCCCCCCAAAAAACCAAGAACAACUUAUUUCCAAUUUUGGGCAGCUUCCUUGGCUGUGGGCCAGCUCUCCCCACUGCCUCUCUGUGCUACUUCCCAACACCUCUUAAGUGACCUGAGUGCCUCAGGGAUCAAACUUUACCGAACAGGAAAAUCAAAGUAUGCAAAUGAAGCUCGGGUUAUUACAUAUAUAAUGAUGAAAACGAUUUUCUUUUGCUGUUGCCCGUGCCCAGCUUCCUUCCCUACGGCUCUGAGUGCUUUAGAGCUGUAUAUAGCUGUUGAACUGAAGCACCCAAGGAUGGCUCUGAAGCAGGAAGAGAGUUCAAUCUGCAGGCUGGUUUUCCAGGCACUUUCUUUCUUAUUCUCCACAAGAUGGUUGAUAUGCCUCCGGAUUUUGCUGCUAUUAUUUGGGUGUCUCUACUUCACAGCAAAGGGCAGAUGAAUGCCUUGUGCAGCCUCUUCAGUCCACUCUAGAUCUAUUUCAGGCUGAGAAGACUGUGCUGCUUGGAUAGAUGGGUGCAUUUCAUGCCAAAAGCUCAGUCUUUCUGCAGAGUUAGGCAUCUCCGUUUGAAAAAGUAAGUACAAGGUAAAGCUGUUUGAACCAGUGCAUGAAGCUGAGUUGCUAUCAGAUGUAUAUGGCAUAAAGUAUAUAUCCUGAUAGGCACUCUCCUACAAAGGAGAAGUGGCCUUAUUUACUUGUGCAUCUUAAUGAAUGAGAGGAUGCAUAUUGUGACAUGAAAUCCUAUCCACUGUACCAAUUCAACAGGCAUUUAUACACUGAAGUCUGAACUCUGCAUAACCAAUGGGAUGUCAAUGAAGGAUGUGGAAGAACACUUGUCUAAAGACACCUACUCUUUAUUUUUACUACAAAGUCAAUUACCAUUUCAAAGCAGCCAUCUGACAUGUAUAAUGUCAGGAGCCAGAUGCUGGCAUUGUGAUAUCGUCAUAUUAAUUUUAAAGAAUCAUUUUUUAAAUUAUUAUUAUUUUUUUUUUAAUGUUGGAUUCCCAAGGAUUAAGUUGGAUUUUCUCAAUGUAGUUGAAAAAAGAAUUUAUAUUCCCCAGACAAACAUUCUUCUAUUCUGUUUGGUUCUAUAACUCAGUCAUUUCUCUCUUGAAGAAGCACAAAACAGAAAGAACUUUUGGUUUCAGGUAAAGUUUCGCUUCAGCUGAUCUUUCUGAAAACAUGCACCUUUUUGGCUGUUUCAGUUAUGAAUCAUAGAAUGGCCUGGGUUGAAAAGGACCACAAUGCUCAUCCAGCUCCAACCCCCUGCUGUGUGCAGGUCACCAACCAGCAGCCCAGGCUGCCCAGAGCCACAUCCAGCCUGGUCUUGAAUGCCUGCAGGGAUGGGGCAUCCACAGCCUCCUUGAGCAACCUGUUCCAGUGCAUCAACACCCUCUGUGUGAAAAACUUCCCCCUAAUAUCUAACCUAAACCUCCCAAAAUGAAGCUUAUGCAUAAUUUAUCUUUAAAGGGAAGUUUAAUGAGUAAAAUUUGGGUUACUGAGGUUUUGGCACAGGUCACAUUGAAUCUUUUUUUAUCUCCUAAAUCACGUGUUUAAACUUAGUUUGGGUCUCUUACGACCAAAAUCCGUGCUGACUCCUCUCUGACCUAGGCAGAUUGAACUGAGUCGCAACACUGCUCUUUGCUGGUACAUGUCCUCAUCCCCACUGCCAAGAAAAACCCUCUCCCUCUGUGUUUUCCUGUUAGCAAUACUGGUAUGGAAGCCAAGGACUGACAGUCUUUCUCAUAAUUCUAAAAUCCUCUCCUCCAACAGGGAAAAAGGAAAAUGAUUAAGAAACCUUUUGCUAUUGUUUGGUUGUUUGGUUAUAAAGGGGAACUGGUCUGCCAAGCCAUCAUCCCAGUAGCCCUAAAUCUCUGUGUAAAACAUAGGCAAAAGGAGAGAAAAGAAAGAUUUAUUGUUAUUAUCAUUACAGACUACCUUUAUAAUACAUGUGUUUCACUUAAAUUAAUAUUUUAUAACUCUAUAUCAGCACUACAGUCACCCAACAGCAUUUCUUAUUUAUCCAGUUGGACAUACUAAUUUGCUUUUAUCAAAAUACUUGAGAAAUAAUUGUCUUACCUCUCCUAGGACAUGCUACAGGGUUUAUUCUCUCCUUGCUAUCUACGUAGUUAUAAAUCCUCAUGCACUGAGAGCAGAACAGGCUUUAUGUGUCUAGCAUUUUCUUAUGAUUUCUAGGCUAUUAUCCCCAAAUCCUAAUUAACCAUUAUUAAAAAUAAUGUGGCCUUUCUACCACGUGAGAUAUACCAGCAUGAUAAGAUGUGAUGUGAAAGUCCCAAGUAUAAUGUAAUUUUGCUGCUUUACUUUUCCUCUUUUAUUAGAGAUUUCUAACAUAAUACUGCGUUUUCAUCCAAAGUGACAGGAUUCAGUGCAUACUUUGUGGUAUAUGUUUUGCAAACUGCCAAAACAGAGUCGUUGGAUUUAGUUUUCUAAUAAUCAUACAGCCAUACAACACGCCCCUACAUGUCAGAAACUGAAGAAAGCAAAUUUGUACACAACAACAUGUAUUUUGUGGAUAGCGAUAACCCACCCAAAUCUAAUUUAAUCAAAUAUUUAAAGAGGUAAUAAUUAAUUUUUAAAGAAUUGAAGUGAACCGUAACUAGGAGGAAAUGUUAUUGUUUAUUUUUAAUGCCAGAACCGUAUUCCUGAUGCAUUUUUAAUAUUUCAUUAAGGCGGUAACUUUCACAGUGUAUUUUUUCAAGUUUCAUAUCUCACUGAUUUAUUUAUUUUUUUCUGAAGAAGAAAGGUAAAAUGCUGUAGGGAAACUCAUAGCUUAGACUGAUGCAUUCUUUGAGGAGCUCUUGCUAAAACUAACUGAAGUCUUUUUAAGCAGAAGUCUUCUUAAGCCUUUCCGGACAAGCAAUCUAAAACCAGAUGUCUUUUAGACAAGCUAAGGUACAGCAUCUGCUUGUGAGCUGAGCAAAGGGUUCUUCUUUCAGACAGUGCAUGUGUUCAUUGGGUACUACUUUCUGUUCUGCUUCUGAGCUAUUAGUCAUUCUUACUUUCUGGAAGAGAUAUCUGCAAGAAAGGUUUUAAAGCCCAUUGCCUUUCAAACCUGCAUUCUGUCCUUCCUCAGUCCUUUGUUUUUUGAUGUAUUCCUUCUUUUUAAUGGAGCAUCCCUCACAGUUUUUUAGCCUUUCGUACUCAAACCAUGGAAGCCUAUUUAUUUCACUCUGGCUCCAGCCCUAGUUAAAGGUGUGAACUACCAAAGUGGAUGGGGGCACAUGCACAUUAACACUGCUGUGGAAAACAUCGCCUGACAGAUGGAUGCAUGUUGAAUGGGUGUUUAAAGAAAGGUGUUUGCAAUAAAAAUCCUGAGUACAGCAUCAGAGGAAGACCACACAUAGUUUCCUACUUUUAUUUCUGUAAUAUAUAGGGGUCAGGCUAGUUCUAGUCCCUAUGCUUUAUACUGUCACUUACUCACAUUUGCUAUUUCGUAUAUGCUUAUAUUUGAUAUUUAAUACUAAUAAUUUAUAUAUUAAUAUUUGUGUGUUUAUUCCAAAGACUGGCUGUUUUCAAGGGUCUGCUCUGCAGCACGAGGGCCUGAGUCAACAUACUGUAAAUUGCUAGUUUAUUCAAUAAACAAAAUAGUGAAAGGGUAAGUUGAAUUUCUCCAGUUAUAAUCACCUGUUCUCGAUCUCUGGGCGAUACUCACCUAAUGUGUAACAGUUAUGGAGCUAUGAAUAUGAUGUGCAGAUACAUCCUUGCUUGGGUUUAUCUGCCUCUGACCAGCUCUAAGAACUGACGUGUUUAAAUUCUGGUUGAGAAAUGAGGCAAGUGACUGGAACUAGAUUAUCUUUGAGGGUCCUUCUAACCCAAACCAUUCUAUGAUUCUUUGGAAGAUGAACUAUAGAUAAGAAGUUCUCUCCAUUUUUCUUCCUAAGUCCUUAGCUGUUCCCUGGAUGGAUAAGAGGACUUUUUAGGCACAGCAUUGUUCUUUUCCCAAAAUAUUUCUGACUCAGUCAUCUGCCUACGUAGCGAACUUUUGUGUCCCCUGACUUAGGCUGAAUUGGUUUCUCUUUAUGUACAAACAGGAUCGCUUUUUUUCCCCCCUGAUUUCAUAAUUGCUAUUUCUAUUUUUUUGCUUCUUUCAGUUUUCAAUUAUACUUCCACUUGACUAUCAAGAUUAUCAAGAAAUAAAGCAUGAUUCACAUGUACACAUAGUUUACGACCUUUAGAUUCAAGUCUAUUUAUAUAAACUUGCAAAUACAAAAGGAUACGACGUCAUAGGGCCUUGUAGGCACCCAAAUUGUCAGUGAAUUCAGACCAUAACUGGUUUGUUCAGCUUUAUUGAGACCUCUUUAUAAGCUGUGCUUGUGUUAUGACAGUAGAUUGUUUACAGAUUCUUAAAAUGUCCUGAGUUGAUGAAAAAAAGGGCAAUUUUUUCCUUCACAAAUAUCACUUGACUUUGAGAGGAGUGUUUGAAGCUACACAACCAGAAUAGGAACAUUCACAUCCUCUCUAUGAGUGGCUCAAAAACCCUGUCAUUUCUCUCAGGCCCAGCUCCAGCAAGCACUUACACACAUGCUUAACUUUAUGCACACGAGUAAUCCCAUUGAUUUAAUGGGAUUAUUCCCCUAUGCACAGUUACGCACACAUAAAUGUUUGCAGGACUGGGGUCUAUUUCUCUUGCAAUAAUUUGAAACCUGUGGAAGAAAAUGCUGUAUGCAAGUUAGAUAUUAUUUAAUGGCCACAUAUUAAGCCUGAAUAUCUCUUCUGAAAUUGGUGAGGCUGUGCCACUUUGUUUCUGGCUGAGAAACUGCCCUCUUCUGUGCACAGUGUACACUCUUAGCUUACUACAACACAUUGUGGCUAUUACAGCAUAGAAAAGUGUAUGGGAACUGCUGAGUCACAGCUUGAACCACUGAUGGAGCACCUGAGGAAAGGACCUGGUCAGCCCUGGGAGCACAGGUGAAGGCAAUUCACCUGUAUGACUGGAAGGGGUGCAGCCUGGCUCCACCUCUCUUAGACCCCAUUUAAGGGCUGACUGCAACUGGGGAAGGAUCUCCUUCUAAAGAUCCCUCCCUAGUGGAGUUUUCCUCUGUGAACCUGGAAUCUUCUGAUAAAGUGUUACAGUAGAAAGAAUCUUUCCCAUAAAGAACAACGUGACGAUUUUCACACUGAACUUUCUGCCACGUAUCUGCAGAACUGCCACAGAUGUACAUGCACAUCCAACCUGAAAUCAGCCCUGAGAGUAGAUGGGUAUGUUUGAUGAAGAGGUCAAUUAAAACCACAGAAUCUUUCAGCACCCUGUGUCCCAGGUGUUGGACCAUGUAGCUAUGAUGAGCAUCCUUGAUGCCAGCACUUCUGUCAGAUGAGUCUACAAAGAUGACGAUUGACAUCACUGGAGAAUCUACAAAUUUUCUGUGAGCAAAGUGUCACAAAACAGACCAGCAAACAAAAUUCUUUUCCCUGACUAACGUAAGACAUAAACAUGCAUGCAGCUCUGCACAGCCAUAUCUAAUUGUAAGGUCAUGCCUUUUUUUAAUGAGCUUGCUAAAAGUUUACACCAAGUUUCCUCAGUGAAACAGGUAGGGUCUCAUUGAUCUCCAGCCAGGGCUGUCAUUACAGAGGAUGGGGUUCCAAUUUCUGAUUAAUGAAAAUUUUAAUUACGGACAGAUAACGAAGAGAAAGACACAUUUCCAUGUUACUUUAAACAAAGAAGAGUUAAGGCCUUAUCUUAACUAUGCAUUGGCACUGCAAUGCGAAAUGGUCAUGCAAAAUUAAUUUUUAAUGUGUUCAAUUUAUAUUAAAAAUUUCUGCAAGUGUGUGAUUUUUUUUUUUUUCUAAGGCUGGAGUGCUACUUCAUUUACAAUAUUCCCUGAAGGUGUUUUUUUUUUAAAGAGACUCUUAAACUGAAGCCAUUUUAAGGGUUUUAUGAGACAUUAUGUGAGCUUUCAUAUGCAAGUUAGUCGUUAAGUACCAGAUAUUAUAUUCUGUAAUAUGCUUAAGUGAUAUUAGAGGCUGUAUAUAGCCUGCAGUAAUGGCUAUUGCUGCUUUUUUAAUUUAUCAAGAAAAUGUUGCUUAAAUAAGGAGCAAAUCAGUGCUUGGGUGUAGAAAAUAUAAAUGUACAGGAAGUAAUAGUAUCAUUGCAACACACUUUGCAUGUCCAGCUUCCCUGGGGAGCAAACACAAAGUCUGCUUUCCCCUACUCCUGCUAACAUACAUGGAAGACCCAUACAUGUAGUGAUGGAAAUAUGCAAAAAGAGAAAUUUCACUGAGUCUCACUGAGCAGUAUGUGACUGCUGCUCCUCAAGACCUCAUGAGAAUUAAUAUUAUGCCCUCUGUAACUGGGUUUUUUUUUGUACAAUCCUUGGCAUUCAAAGUAGCAUCUCACUUUUGGAUGUAGACCAGUGAAGUCUUUGAAUGUUCAUCCUCCAAAGGGAAAUAUUUUUGUUAAGCUGGAUUCAUUGGUCAAGCUGUAACAGCUAGGAUGAAAAAAAUCUCAGAUGGUGAACAAACUUGCUAUUUCUCUUUUGUCGCUUCUUGCUGAGAAAUAAGGAGAAAAAAGAGGAGGGAGAGACCUUUAAACUGAUAAGCCUGUAGAAAUAGAAAAGUCACUUGACUUUACUUACAGACGUGCUUCCUGCUCCGAACUCUGACACAGAAACAAACCCUUUUGCAGUUGUGCUGCAUGGAAGUGGGACACGGGCAUCUUUUGCCCUGCCCCCCACCCCACACAGUUCUCCCUGCUCUGUGCACACAGUGCUGUCUGGUGCCCA